AUUUAGAACCCAAUUAAUAUAUAAAUUACUAAAUAACCAAUUUAAAUCUAACUAUAUAUGAUAUAAUUAUGGUUUUUUUUUGUUGUACGAGCAUAAUAUCUUAUGAAUUUCAUUAAUUGAUAUUGCUUUCUUCACAACUUUCAGAUGUGAGACUACUAUUGUAUUUUAUGUCCUAUAUCAAGAGAAAUAAGAGACAUAGAGAUCAACUGAAUAUAUUACAUCUAAAAAGUUUUUCCUCGUGAGUUACUAUAUAAUCGUGAACCAAUCAUGCAAUCUAGUCAAAAGAUUAUCAAGUGAUUAAUUCACUCAAUCAAGAUCAAAUAAAAUCAUAUCACACAACUUAAUAGGAUCACUACAUUCUCAAAUUAUAAUACCUUUAUACAUCAUAAAAACUCUUAUUAUGAACUUGAUAUUAUCUUUAUAAAUUAAUGAAUUAUUAAUUAUUAGUUUAUCAUUCUAUUAAUAUUCACUAAAUUAAUAAAUUUUUUAUGGUCUCAAUGCUAUUAGUUUAUCGUGAUUCUACUUGUAUGAGGGUAGCAUAGGGUCGGGUUAGUUGGAUCUAUUAUGAAUUCAACUAAACCGAUAUAUUUUUGUCCAUUGUUGGUUCGCUUGGUUUUUCAAUAUUAAACCAUUAAUUCCUUUGUAGUUUGUAUUUUUUUUUUUUUUGUACAAACUGAUUGGUUAAUUUCUAAAAAUUGGACCUAAUUAUUAGAUUAAUUGGAUUUUUUUAUGGUGUUGAUUUUUAACCCACCCCUACCUAGUACUAGGAAUGACAAAAUUCUCCACGGAUUUGGAACCUCACAAAAAAUGGGGGUGGAUUUUGAAUAAUUUUUAGAAAAUAAGAUGAGGAAUGGAAGAAAAAUAAUUAUCAAAUUCUCAAUGGAGUAGAGUUUGGUUUUGCAUUCUCCACAUCACUCCUAACGUAACCCC
rnacentral:lncRNA from 1 species